ACGCUGGCGGCGUGCCUAAUACAUGCAAGUAGAACGCUGAAGGAGGAGCUUGCUUCUCCGGAUGAGUUGCGAACGGGUGAGUAACGCGUAGGUGACCUGCCUGGUAGCGGGGGAUAACUAUUGGAAACGAUAGCUAAUACCGCAUAAGAGUAGAUGUUGCAUGACAUUUGCUUAAAAGGUGCAAUUGCAUCACUACCAGAUGGACCUGCGUUGUAUUAGCUAGUUGGUGGGGUAACGGCUCACCAAGGCGACGAUACAUAGCCGACCUGAGAGGGUGAUCGGCCACACUGGGACUGAGACACGGCCCAGACUCCUACAGGAGGCAGCAGUAGGGAAUCUUCGGCAAUGGACGGAAGUCUGACCGAGCAACGCCGCGUGAGUGAAGAAGGUUUUCGGAUCGUAAAGCUCUGUUGUAAGAGAAGAACGAGUGUGAGAGUGGAAAGUUCACACUGUGACGGUAUCUUACCAGAAAGGGACGGCUAACUACGUGCCAGCAGCCGCGGUAAUACGUAGGUCCCGAGCGUUGUCCGGAUUUAUUGGGCGUAAAGCGAGCGCAGGCGGUUAGAUAAGUCUGAAGUUAAAGGCUGUGGCUUAACCAUAGUACGCUUUGGAAACCGUUUAACUUGAGUGCAAGAGGGGAGAGUGGAAUUCCAUGUGUAGCGGUGAAAUGCGUAGAUAUAUGGAGGAACACCGGUGGCGAAAGCGGCUCUCUGGCUUGUAACUGACGCUGAGGCUCGAAAGCGUGGGGAGCAAACAGGAUUAGAUACCCUGGUAGUCCACGCCGUAAACGAUGAGUGCUAGGUGUUAGACCCUUUCCGGGGUUUAGUGCCGCAGCUAACGCAUUAAGCACUCCGCCUGGGGAGUACGACCGCAAGGUUGAAACUCAAAGGAAUUGACGGGGGGCCCCGCACAAGCGGU
rnacentral:rRNA from 1 species